UGUGGGAGCGGGCUUGCUCGCGAUGGCGGAGUGUCAGUCAAUGUAUUUGGCGACUGAUUCACCGCUAUCGCGAGCAAGCCCGCUCCCACA
rnacentral:misc_RNA from 1 species